rnacentral:snRNA from 1 species
GGAUGUGAGCCAAUCUGGUUGUGACAUCUGUCACCCCAUUGAUCACCAGGGUUGAUUCAACUGAUCUGGCUGGGUAGGCAGGUGUCCCCUUCUUCCCUCAAUGAUCCAUGUGUGUCCCUCCCAAAGCUGUGAUCUCGGUCAAAGAGGAUGACCUCCCCCCCUCCCCCCGAUAAAAGAGGUCCAUUCCUCAGUCAAGGUUAUAUGAGUAGCUGCGUUCCCCUGCUAGGAGCUGCAAACAAGCUUUCAAGAAACAAAAUCUAACAAUAUACUGCAUACAAGAAACAUAU